CAUUUUUCCUCUACACCGACGUUUAGUGACGUCGGACCUGUUAGUGAUUGAUGUCGAGAUAGACGUCAGUUAUACUAUUUUUCUGAUGUCGCAUGGACGUCACCGAUAAUGACAUCGGUUCAGUUAUAGACGUUAAAAGCCCAAAAAAACUAACGUUAAUCAGCAUUUUUUCACUAGUGACAAUCAUCGUUGCCGCAUCUCUGUGUUAUUGUCUCACAUUGGUGUUGUCUCCAAGUCAUCAUCGUCAUCAUCAUUACACCCCUGCUAUUGUCAUAAACUUUGGCCUCCUUGUCGUCUUCCUCCACCUCUUCUUUCUCUUCAUUUUUUUUUCUUUUUCUCAUUCAUCUCCACUCUAUAAUAAAACUUUUAUUAGUGUAGAUGAGAAAUUUAAUACUUAAUUUAUCAAUAAAAUUCAU
rnacentral:lncRNA from 1 species